UCAAGCAUUGAAAUUUUGUUAGGGAAAUGGCAUGAAGUGAAAUACAAUGCGUUACAAGCUGAACAAUUUUCUCAAAGUAGAUGCAAGGUAAAUAUAUGUGUACAAUUGUACUACUGUUUGUGAAUUACUAAUCUAUAGGUGUUUCUGUAAACUUGAUCAUGACUGCUAAAUGUAUCUCAAUUAAUUGGAUUCCUCAGAUUUGGCAUUCAUCCAAGAAUCUUCAGAGUUUCAGUCAGGUCAGAGCUGCCCAUAACACACUGGGCCAGCUAAGUUCAGAAACAUGGCAUCUUGGAUGGUUCAACUGGUCAAAAGCUAAAGAAAGUCUGAAGUUACAGGUGGCUUACCGAGUCGAGCAAGAUGUUGGAGGCCUUGAAGUCGCGGUAGAUCACCGGCGGGUCGGCAUCGUGGAGAAAGGCAAGGCCCUUGGCCGCGCCGACAGCGAUCUUCAUCCUUGUCAUCCACGGGAGAGAGCCAUUGGUACCUGAAGAUGGUAGGAUGUUUCAGGCAGGGAGCAGCUCAGCUAUCCUCUUGACUUCGAGAAAAGAAACUUCAGGGGACAAGAACAGCUCAUCGCUGAUGGACCAGAUGGCACUCCAGAAAGCAGUGAAGAAGUAACUCACUUUUGAAGAGGUGCGUCUCCAGGCUCCCGGCGUUCAUGAACUCGUACACGAGCAUCCGGUGCUCUUCCUCGUAGCAGUACCCGAUCAAUUUCACCAGGUUCUUGUGCCUCAG